rnacentral:tmRNA from 1 species
GGGGGCGUAUUGGUUUCGACGGGGACGCAGAGGUUGGAAUAGCGUGCGGAUGCGCCUGACAUCCAUAAAACGGGCAAUUAUAAAUCAAAUAACGAAGAUUCUUACGAUCUCGUAGCCGCUUAAGGCUGCGCGUCCGCUCCGGGAGGGCCACAGCCCGGAUGUCGGGCGUCACUCAGUGGCGGACGUGAGUGCGCUAAGCUUUGCGCGCACCAUGCACAAUGAAGCUACCUGACCGGCAGGCGUGACGGCUUGCCUCCCGGAAAGGGAAUCGGCCUUCGGGCCGCAAUAACCGUCUGCGCACGGAGAGGUUCCUGCUGAAACGUUUUCGGACGGGGGUUCGACACCCCCCGCCUCCACCA